rnacentral:rRNA from 1 species
GACGAACGCUGGCGGCGUGCCUAAUACAUGCAAGUAGAACGCUGAAGAGAGGAGCUUGCUCUUCUUGGAUGAGUUGCGAACGGGUGAGUAACGUGUAGGUAACCUGCCUUGUAGCGGGGGAUAACUAUUGGAAACGAUAGCUAAUACCGCAUAACAAUAGGUGACACAUGUCAUUUAUUUGAAAGGGGCAAUUGCUCCACUACAAGAUGGACCUGCGUUGUAUUAGCUAGUAGGUGAGGUAACGGCUCACCUAGGCGACGAUACAUAGCCGACCUGAGAGGGUGAUCGGCCACACUGGGACUGGGAAACGGCCCCGACUCCUACGGGGGGCAGCAGUGGGGGAACUUCGGCAAUGGGGGCAAACCUGAACGGGAGAAGCCGCGGGAGUGAAGAAGGUUCUCGGAUCGGAAAAAUCUGUUGUAAGUGGAGAAAGAGUGUGAGAGUGAAAAGUUCACGUUGUGACGGUAGCUUACCAGAAAGGGACGGCUAACUACGUG